UUUAACCCCAAAAUUAUUAAUUACCUUACAACCACUAUCAAACUAAAUUAUAACGCACUGCUAUAUUAAUUGCAAACUAACAUUUUGCUUGCUAAACACGAUUACUAAACAGGCAACAACACUGACUACUCAUACGAUGCUUACUUCCAGGCCCUGUUUUUUGGAACACAGCAGCCGACUCCCACAAGCCAUUGCAAACAGCCUUCAAUGAAAUUUAAGAAGUUUUUUUAUUUCGGCGCCAUUUUCGAUUGGACUGAGGAAUAUGCUUGGUCCUGUGCUCUGCCCAGACCUUGGAGAGAAGAAUCAACUUGAGAGUACAGAAUGGAAAUCAUUGGCAUCAGCUGUGACUUGCACUGUCUUGCAGUACCUUUUAUGUACUGGCAACUGCAGCCAAACACGUUUUAAGAAUUUGUCUAAUGCUCUCUGCAGGUACCUGAGGAAAACAUCUGAUUCCUGAAGGGAUGGAGUUAAUGGUAGAAAAAAAUGCACAGCCAAAUUCUUCAGUAAGAAUAUAAUACCACAGUUUUGUGAAUUUGGCUUGUGACAGUUCCUGUAAGGUGUAUAUAUUUUUUGGUCUGUCAAUUAAUCUAGAAAAAAAAUGUAAUUUGUGUUGCUGAUGCUAACUUUCCCAGCAUUCAUUCUUUCCUUUUGCAGUUUACAAGGACUUAUCAGUGGGUGCUAAAAAUGUUAGUACAUGAAGCUUUUUGUCAUCUCCAUUAACUGUUGUGUCCUGUGCUAUAACUGCUUGUUAUAGUGUGUACUGUCUGAACUUUUUCCUUCCACUGCAAACACAAGUAAACCAAGUUUCUUUUCUGCCUUCCAAAGCAGUGCUAAAGGGUAUAAAAAAUUUAAUUUUUAAAUUCUU